rnacentral:rRNA from 1 species
UGAGGAAUAUUGCGCAAUGGGCGAAAGCCUGACGCAGCGACGCCGCGUGAAGGAUGAAGGUCUUCGGAUUGUAAACUUCUGUUGAACGGGAAGAAAGACCUGUUAGUAAUAUGAACAGGGGAUGACGUUACCGUUAAAGAAAGCACCGGCUAACUUCGUGCCAGCAGCCGCGGUAAUACGAGGGGUGCAAGCGUUAUUCGGAAUUACUGGGCGUAAAGGGUGUGUAGACGGUAUCUUAAGUCUGUUGUUAAAGACCUCGGCCCAACCGGGGAAAGGCAAUAGAUACUGGGAAACUAGAGGGUGGAAGAGAGAAGUGGAAUUCUCGGAGUAGCGGUCAAAUGCGUAGAUCUCGAGAGGAACACCGAUGGCGAAAGCAGCUUCUUGGUCCAUUCCUGACGUU